CAGUCGCCGCGGGAAAACGUAGGUGGCAAGCGUUGUCCGGAUUUAUUGGGCGUAAAGCGAGCGCAGGCGGUCAAUUAAGUCUGAUGUGAAAGCCCCCGGCUCAACCGGGGAGGGUCAUUGGAAACUGGUUGACUUGAGUGCAGAAGAGGAGAGUGGAAUUCCAUGUGUAGCGGUGAAAUGCGUAGAUAUAUGGAGGAACACCGGUGGCGAAAGCGGCUCUCUGGCUUGUAACUGACGCUGAGGCUCGAAAGCGUGGGGAGCAAACAGGAUUAGAUACCCCAGUAGUCCCUGUCUCUUAUAC
rnacentral:rRNA from 1 species